rnacentral:tRNA from 1 species
GAGAAGGUGACAAGACCUGCUAACUCUUUAACCUGGUAUUAACCUACCAGCCUUCUCU